rnacentral:misc_RNA from 1 species
UAGUCAUUUCCUCUAUCAUUGCAUCGCGCCACCUUGAAUGUUCCAAUGCCUCUCUAACAUUCUUCGGUGUGGAAACAUCAGAUGAGGUGGAAACAAAGACAUAAAUAGGAAGGUAAUAAAUGAUGAUAACUGAGAAAAUUAUAAAUGAGAUGGAGGUUUUGAGAGGAACAAAUACCUUUGGGAAGGGUAGUUGGAGAAGAUGUUGCAUCUGUUGAAAGCAUGAUUGGAAUAGGUGAAGAAGG